ACGUCAAGUCCUCAUGGCCCUUACGGGCUGGGCUACACACGUGCUACAAUGGCGACUACAGUGGGAAGCGAAGGAGCGAUCCGGAGCCAAUCCAUAAAACCGUUCUCAGUUCGGAUUGUAGGCUGCAACUCGCCUACAUGAAGCUGGAAUCGCUAGUAAUCGCGGAUCAGCAUGCCGCGGUGAAUACGUUCCCGGGCCUU
rnacentral:rRNA from 1 species